UUUAAUUCAAAAAUUAAUGUAUCAAGCUUAAAUAAAUGACUAAUACGAACUUUUUUUUUUAAUAAUUACUAUUUUAUUAAUCAACCCGAAUGGAAAUACAGCGUAAAUUACAAGCCCGAAUUAACCAAAAUUUCUAAUUCAAUACCUCACAAGACUAGCUUCGCUCGCUCACUAAACCGACGCCAUACGCUAGACCGUUCGGAUAUCCUUAGAAUAUCAGUCUCCGUUCUCAACCGUUAAUGGAGACCACGAGAAUGUGAGGUUUACCUCGUUUCCUCGGUAAGAAGAGGGUAGAUAACAAACCUAUAGGAAGCCAUCCGAGCCUCUGAAACCGCAAGGACAGGGGAGGGAGGAACCGUGAAAGGCCGAGACAGACCUUGCACGACCAACCUCAAGACAAGACGGGUUGCAAUGAAGACAAAUCUGGGAACAAAUGCUUCCAUUCCUGCAAAAGAAGAAUGAGCCGAGCUUACCAAGGAGACUAAGCAGACACCUCAGUACUGGGAUAGCCUAACUCAACCCAAGUCUCCUCGCCAAAUGAGCUCCAACUGACUCAAUCAAGAGCACAUAAAGGCGCCCUGGUCCGCAAUAGAGAACCUACAGCAAUCUUCCAAGCACUGCACAGAACUGCUCCGCUGGAGACACGGAAACGAACUAAUACAGAGGAACUGAAAGGACACCACGCGCGAGAUGUCACCACACUUUCCCGAAACAUGCGGAAGAACCACAAAAAGAGGACACUCUCGAGAGGCAGAAAAGACCAAGCCAUAGACGACAAGGCUUCUCAGACCACACAAAAGUUGCAGACGCAAACCUCAAGAAACCAACCACCACACGAUAGACGGAGACCUGAGCACGAACCGGCGGUAGGGAACCGCCGCCUCUCUUGAGCCAAAGAAGAAACCCACCACCGUCACAAGACACCAAGCCACGGCGAGAAAGGAAACCUUUAGACACCACUCCAACAUCGGAGAAACAACACUUCGAGAUACAAAUCGGGAUAAAACCAGAGGAGAGAAUGGUCCUCGAGCCGUCAUGCGCCUCCACCACCGAAAAACACCGAGUAGAUCUACAAAAAGUAAAACAGAGACCACCCGAUCUAACACCCUAAAAACCGACCCCGCUUGCCUCCAACUCUCACUGCCUCGCUGAAACUCCAGACGAAGAGAACCAACCGCUGAUUCAGACCUCUCCGGAAAAGAACUGGAUGAACCCACGACGGAUCCUUGCCCACAGCACCAUGCAUCUCGACAGCAAGAAGAAAGGAGACAAAAAGGAGCAAAAAGAAAAGAGGAAAAGGAAAGGAGAGUGCCUCCGGUGACCACGCGCGCUACCGACGGUCACCGGAGCGGGAUCCCGACGUCGAUAAGAAGUUACUUUUUAGAAAGAGAAGAGAGGAUUUCGGGAGGAGAGAGAGUUAUGACUAAUACGAACUUGAACUGACUGUAUUAUAGAAAUUAUAUAAUUUUGUCUCAAGAAAAAAAAGUGAAAGGUAAAACUAACAUUCUGAUAUCAUGAAGUUUUGAUAGGUAAUUUAAUGCUCAUCUAUAACAUUUGUAACAUGUCAAGAGAAAUGG
rnacentral:lncRNA from 1 species